GGGAGGACCGGCAGAGUUAGACCUGCGGUAAGAGAUUUAUUGGAAGAAAAACCCGAACUGGAAGGAAACCACGACUGUAGACGAGGGAACAGCAACAAGUGAACCUGCCCGAGGAUUGAGAGCAUCAACUGGAGAGAAACCCAUCUGACUCGGAGAUUCCAGUGAUUCAGGCAGGAGAAAGUUUGCGAACUUGAUGGCGAUUGUGAUCCUGUCCCGAGGAAGGUGCGGUCUUUCCAAAUGUGUCUCUCGCUACCUGGUGGGAAUGGCAGUGGCCGA